UCUGUUUCAACUCCGUUUUACAUAGUUGGAUUUGUAAAGCUAAUAAAUUAUUUAUUCCAGGAUCUGUAGCUCCAAAUCCGUCAUCGCUCCCAGUACCCUUUGAAGUAUCACUCCAACACCUAAUGGCUAAUCUUCUACUUCUACUAAGAUCUCAAGAAUAAUGGAGUAAAGAUGAGGACCUGGAAUCAAGACACUUGAAAAACAACAACUUGGUGAAGAAAAAAUAAUAGUUUUCUGGAGAUUGGGAAGGAACUGACAGGAAAACUAGAGACUACCAAGAAGUGGAGAAAUGGCACACAGUACAGAAACACAAUGGUCUGCUGCUUUCCCACUUGCCAAUGAGAUCAAGAACACACCUCAGUGUGGCUGGUUGUCACAGCCAGGGGUGCACUGUGUACGGACAGAGGGACUGGUGGAGUACAGGAGCACCUCAAGAAUCCUCAGACCAUGAAGUUAGGUGGAGAAAAUCCUGUCUUGGGGGACACAGAAGGAUGCAGAGACUGUGAGUGACUAGAGCGAAUAUAGCCUUAGAGCUGAUGACCAAGCCCAGCAGGAAAGAUUGGCAGGAUUCAUCAUUCACACCUGAAAAUGAGACCUUCCUUCUGAUGCCAAGCUGUGGAGUUAUUGACAAGUACGAGCAUACUGUCUUGAGCAAUGUAGAUAAUCAUCUUCACAUCAAAGACACCUGCAAGGUUUCAUUUCCCGUAGCGCCAUGGUACCUCCUGCCUGCCUGA
rnacentral:lncRNA from 1 species